rnacentral:rRNA from 1 species
AACGAACGCUGGCGGCGUGGAUUAGGCAUGCAAGUCGAACGAGAACGCACCCUUCGGGGUGUUAGUACAGUGGCGGACGGGUGAGUAUCGCGUGGGAAACCUGCCUUUGAGCGGGGGAUAACAGUUCUAACGGACUGCUAAUACCGCAUGACGCUGUUGAUCGCAUGUUCAACAGUUAAAGAUGGCCUCUACAUGUAAGCUGUCGCUUAAAGAUGGUCCCGCGUCCUAUUAGCUUGUUGGUGGGGUAACGGCCUACCAAGGCAACGAUGGGUAGCCGGCCUGAGAGGGUGGUCGGCCACACUGGGACUGAGAUACGGCCCAGACUCCUACGGGAGGCAGCAGUCGAGAGGCUUCGGCAAUGGGGGAAACCCUGACCGAGCGACGUCGCGUGGGUGAUGAAGAUUCUUGGAUCGUAAAACCCUGUCAGGUGGGAUGAAAUGCCAUUAGGUGAAUAGUCUAGUGGUUUGACAGUACCACCAGAGGAAGCUCCGGCUAACUCCGUA